CGGCGGACGGGUGAGUAACACGUGGCAACCUACCCUUAAGACCGGGAUAACAGCUUGAAAGGGUUGCUAAUACCGGAUAAAGUUAACUUAGCGCAUGCUAAGUUAACCAAAGGGGUUUAACUGCUUAAGGAUGGGCCCGCGUUCCAUUAGCUAGUUGGUGGGGUAACGGCCUACCAAGGCUGCGAUGGAUAGCCGGUCUGAGAGGAUGUACGGCCACACUGGGACUGAUACACGGCCCAGACUCCUACGGGAGGCAGCAGUGGGGAAUCUUGCGCAAUGGGGGGAACCCUGACGCAGCGACGCCGCGUGAGCGAUGAAGGCCUUCGGGUUGUAAAGCUCUGUCAGCGGGGACGAAGGAGAUGACGGUACCUGCAGAGGAAGCCCCGGCUAACUACGUGCCAGCAGCCGCGGUAAGACGUAGGGGGCGAGCGUUGUCCGGAAUUACUGGGCGUA
rnacentral:rRNA from 1 species